rnacentral:miRNA from 1 species
GGUCUCUCUAUGUAGUUCAGGCUGUCCGUGAACUCACUAUGUAGUCCAGGCUGGCCUUGAACUCCCAGGAUUCUCCUGCCUCAGCCUCUGGAGUGCUGGGAUUACAGGCAUGUGCCACCAUGCCC